AUCAACUCCCAAAUCACAAUAUCAGCAGACGACAACACCUCUCGACCCAAAACAAUUCCAAAUCGACCCGAUUCCCAUUUUUCUCAACCCAAAUCUUUUGAUCCGUGACCGAUAUGAACUCAACCCGUCAAUCACGUGCCCUUACCAUGCGAAUUCAUACGAGAAUAGCCUCGAACCUUCUAGAAUAUGGUGAGUUGGCUCCCUCCAACGUUCCAAUCCCGUGAAUCUUGGGAUAAUGGUGAGAUUUUCGUACAUAUUUGAUAGAAUUUCAUUGGUCUUGAAGAAUAAUUGGUUUUCCCUAAUUUUUAUUGGUCCAUCGAUUUUGGAUUUGUUGAAGAAAAAUCCAAAUGGGGGUACAAUCUGUUGGAUCCUGAUCUUUUAAAUUUCGAAUUACCCUGAGGAAAUCCCUAAAAAAAACCCAGUUUUGUCUUCUAUAUAAGAAGGUUUGGGUCACUGUUUUAGGGAGUUGGAAAUUCUAGAGUAAAAAAUUAGGGUUCGAGAAUUAGGACGAAAAAUUUUAGGGUUUCUUUUCCCUUCUUCCCGGGCUCAAUUUGAAACUUUAGAGGAAUUUCUUGGGUUAAAAACUACAGGGUUGGAAAUUUCUGGAUUCAAAACUUAGGUUUGGAAAAAUCCCAACUGAUGGGGUUCGACAUUUUGGGUCUAUAGAAAGGGAUUCCGGUUUGAAAUAGGGGGAAAAAAUUAAUUCUUUAGUAGAAAUCCUGUUCUGGUUUUGAAAGUUUGUUAGCUAAAUUAGAGUCUUGAGUUGAUGGUAAAGAAGUUUUUCGGUGGUCGUGAUCUCUCUACCCGCUCGUCGUCCCGUUUUGCUGCUCUGAAACAGGUGACAUUUCAUCCCGUUUAACUUGCGAUUAUUUCUGCCUCAUCUUAAACUUCUAAAGUUGUAAGUUUUUUUUUAAGUGACAUAGUGUGCUGAUUUGUUUAAACCUCUGAAGUUGUAAGCUUUUAGUGAUAUGGUGCGCUGGGUCGUUUGUUGUAAUCUGUCUCAAAAGCCAUAGGAUUAUGUGAUGAAGAUGGUGUUUUUUUAACAUGUUGACAUAUUGUCUGUCUUAUGUUUGUUUCGUUCUUUUCUUUGUAAAAAGUUCAUUGCUUUGAUUCUCUAUCGUUGUAAAUCACUAUGAAUAUGCAUGUAGUCUCGAUAUUUCUUUGAAAUAUGUGAUUUUGUUUCGUUUUUGUCACUAUUUUAGCCGCAAUUGGUUACUUUUAUAGUCGUUGCCGUCGUCAUACCAAGAAAGUCAUGUAUAUGUACACACUUGAGUUUACAAAGGUAUUAAAUUUUUCUUGUUUUCAGUCUUGCAUGUUUCAAAUACAAUCACUACCAGACAAAUUUACCUGUUUGAGCAUAUGUGUAUACUGUUCACAUCCUUUCUUUUGCAUCUCUCUCACGAAGUAGUUUACUUCCUUUUGUUCUGGAGGGUCUUUCCUCCUCACCGUCUCAAUUCGAUGUUGCCUAGAAAUAGAAAAUAUUGUAAUUUAUCUUGUCUAUUGGGUAUGUGAUGCCUUGGGAUACUGGAUUUCAAAAUUUUUGCUUUGCUCGAUUCCCUCAUUGUGAGUGUAUUAUUCAAAUGGUACAUUUUUGAGCUAGCUAUACUGUACAUGUAUUUACAAUUGCUGAUUUCUAUUUCGCCUAGAUUAAACCUGGAUUUUUUUUUCAUCAGUCUGGCGAGUACAUUUGGGAAUAAAAGUUAUUCUUACAUAUCUUCGUUAUGUGUUGUUAACUUUAGAACUAUAUUUGUAUUCAUAUACUUGAAAACUUGGGUGCCUGCUCGUGUUGUUUCCAUGUAUGCCAUCAAAGAUGAAUUUGUCAUUGUUAAACUAGCUUUGAUAUAGUUUAUUGCCUACUCUUGAGGAAGAUGCAUGAUAUCUUAGCAUUUUUUCUUAUUCAUUAAUGUUAGCACACAUUAAUUCCUUUUCUUUCCUUUUGUAUGUGGCUACGCUCGAGUCUCGCACGGACUCUCUUUCCCUUUGGAUGUUCCUUAUAGGCCAUUGAGGCCUACCUAGUCUUGAGUCGAAUUUGAAGACCCAAAAAGACAAAACACAUAUAGAUACAAGGAGUCGAAAGAAGGGAAAUGGGUUAAAGUCCCAUUCUUGAAGCGACGACGUGACCCGAGCCUCAUUGCUAUUUAUUUAUUUGUUGUUGUUAUAUAUUAUUGUUGUAUUUACUUACUUGUUUCGUUAGUUAUUCAUUCGGGCCACGAAGCCAAAGUGGUAUUUAAUACAGGUGGAUUGAGACUCGAGCCAAAGGCUCGAAAACUAAAGUAGGACAGGUGAAACGGGUCAAAGACCCAAUUAGAUUAGGACAGGUUUUGUUGGUUUGGGCCCAAUGGCCUAAAUCGUUUACUUUUUCCUCCCUUUCCCCGUUUAUGUGUUUACUUGCUUAUUUCAUUUGUGUAGAUUUAGUUAAAAUCCCUAUUAGGUCGUCUAAAACUAUUUUUACAUGAAUCUUUUUCCUAAAAAUCAAUCAUUUUUUAACAAAUUAAUCUUUUAGAAGUUAAUCAAAGAUGAUUUUCAAACAGUCCGGAUAACCGCAAGUUAGCGGACGAUUUAGGUGCCUAAAACCUUCCUAAAAUGUUAAUAGGAACCACUUAUCUAGAAUCUCUAACUUAAAAUAAUUUUUUUGUUUUGAAUCGUUUGAAGUAACUCUCUAAAGGUUUCUUAAUUCCUUUUCAAAAUUAAGUGGCGACUCUUUCAAAAGUCAAAAUUUCUCCACAAAAAAGGGGGAUAUGGAAUUUAUGAUGAUCCUUAUUUGAUGGAAGAGAGGAUGAGAGGUAGAAGGAUAAAACCGAGGGAGAACCGAGGGCUUAAAGGUAGGGGCGACCAAGGUGUUCGGGAAAGGGAUGUUGGCCUCAACACUAUCAAAAUGGGGCUUCCGAUCUUUAAGGAAGAAAGUGAUCCCGAAGAGUUUCUCGCAUGAGAAUCCGCAUGCGAGAGAGUCUUUCAAGUGAAUGAGCUCACGGAGAAGAAAAAGAGUUGCUACGCCAUUGCUCAUUUUGAGGGAUAUGCUACCAUGUGGUGGGAGUAUGUCAAACGUUUUGGCAACAUAUUGAUUGAGGGGAAACCCACUCCUUGGUUUCAAUUAAGGUAUCUUAUGAGGCAAAGGUACCUUCCCAAAAGCUAUCAACAUGAACUCCUUGCAAAAUUGUACAACUUGAAGCAAGGAAACAAAAGUGUAGCAGCCUACUAUGAUGAGUUUCAACAAGUCAUCUUGAAACUUGAUCAUAGAGGAGAAUAAGUGAGCCACGAUAUCAUCCGGUUUAAGGUCGGCCUAAAUAAGGAAAUCUCUACACACAUGACACUUCAUAAGUUUGAAACUAUUGAAGGGAUCUUUCAAGUGUCUUUAGAGAUUUAACGAGAGAACAAGGAAAGGUCGGCCUACAAAACCAAAGCCUACCAAGGGCCCUCGGGUUAGACCAAAGGAACAGAAGUGGUUCCCUCAUCUUCGGGGUGGAACAAAUCCAAACAACAACCAGUCAAGACCCCUCCACCCAUGAGCAAGAGUGCUCAACCACCUCUUCCACAGCUUGAGGGAAAGCUGAAUGUUUCUUCUAAUGUCAAGGGAUUCCAAUGCUUUAAAUGCCAUGAAUAGGGACACAAGGCUGUUAAGUGUCCUAAUCGGAGAAAUAUGAUAUUGAGAGAAGGGAAAUUGUAUUUCUUGAGGGAAGAAUUGGGACUUGAAGGGGCUGAAAAUGAAGAAGUCGCUCAAGAUGGAGAGGGAGGAGAGGCCGAGAGGCCUAAUAAUGAUGAGGAAGAGGAGGUUUGGACUCAAGAAGGUGAACUUAAAGUACCUAAUUUUGUGGUACAGAGAGUUAUGAUUAGCAAAGCGUUGGAUGAUCCUAGCCAAUGGAAAAACUUCUUUCAUACUAAGUGCCUCAUUAAGGGGAGUGAGUGCUCCUUGAUUAUUGAUAGCAAAAGUUGUGCUAAUGUAGCUAGUGCCUCGAUGGUGAUUCACUUGAAGUUGCCAACUACUCCACAUACGAGUCCGUAUAGACUCCAAUGAUUGAAUGAUUGUGGAGAUUUGAAGGUGACUCGUCAAGUGGUGAUUCGGUUCAAGGUUGGAAAUUAUGAGGACGAGGUACUUUGCAACAUCAUUCCUAUGCAUGCUUGUAACCUUUUGCUGGGUUGGCCAUGGCAAUAUGAUAGUUCAACCAAGCAUGAUGGCCAAACCAACCAUUAUUCCUUUGAGUUCAAGGGUCGAAAGUACAACCUCCAACCACUAUUACCGUCACAAGUGCGUGAGGUACAUCAACAAAUGAAGAAUUUUCUAGGAAAGAGAAAGAAAGGGAAAGAAAGAGAAAAAACCCGCGGGUAUAGGGGAGGAACCCGAGAGUGGGAAGGGUGAGGGUAAAGAGUGAGUUUCAUCAUUGAGGGGUAGGGAUUCAAUGGUAAUGUUUGCUCGUAAGGGUGACCUCUUCAAAGGUAUGAUGAUACUACUCCCAUGCUACUUUUUGCAUAUGUUUUGAAUGCUAACCCAUCCACUUCCCCUAUCCUUUCUUCUAUUUCUAAUGUCUUGCAGGAAUUUGACGAUGUGUUCCCAAGUGAGUUACCGCAAGGAAUUUCUCCACUUUGACGAAUCGAGCUCUAAAUCGACUUUGUUCCGAGGUUGUAAUUGCCAAACAAGCCGGCUUAUAGGAGCAACCCCACGAAUACAAAGGAACUCUAAUGGCAACUUGAGGACCUCCUCAACAAAGGAUAUAUCAAGGAAAGCAUGAGUCCGUACGAGGUCUCGAUGUUACUUGUACCAAAGAAGGAUGGGAUAUGGCGAAUGUGCGUGGACUGCUGAGCCAUAAAUAAAAUUACGGUUGAUCUUAGGAGCGGAUAUCACCAAAUUCGUAUGCAAUCGGGUGAUGAAUAGAAGACCGCAUUAAAGACCAAAUUUGGUCUAUAUGAGUAAAUGGUCAUUCCAUUUUGUCUUACCAACGCUCCUAGUACCUUUUGCGGCUAAUGAAUCAUGUAAUGAAGCCGUUUAUUAGCAAAUUUGUGGUCGUGUACUUUGAUGAUGUUUUAGUUUAUAGUAAGUCUCUUAUUGAUCAUGUCUUGCAUCUAAGGAGUGUGUUUGAUGUUCUUAGGAAAGAAAAGUUGUAUACUAAUAUUGAAAAAUGCUCCUUUGGUGUUGAUAAA